rnacentral:rRNA from 1 species
UUGGUGGGGUAAAGGCCUACCAAGGCGACGAUCUAUAGCUGGUCUGAGAGGACGAUCAGCCACACUGGGACUGAGACACGGCCCAGACUCCUACGGGAGGCAGCAGUGGGGAAUAUUGGACAAUGGGCGAAAGCCUGAUCCAGCAAUACCGCGUGUGUGAAGAAGGCCUUCGGGUUGUAAAGCACUUUCAAUUGGGAGGAAAACCUACCGGUCAAUACCCGGUAGCUUGACAUUACCUUUAGAAGAAGCACCGGCUAACUCCGUGCCAGCAGCC